rnacentral:rRNA from 1 species
AUAACCUACGGGGGGCAGCAGUGAGGAAUAUUGGUCAAUGGUCGGGAGACUGAACCAGCCAAGCCGCGUGAGGGAGGAAGGUACAGAGUAUCGUAAACCUCUUUUGUCAGGGAACAAAGGCGGGGACGUGUCCCCGGAUGAGUGUACCUGAAGAAAAAGCAUCGGCUAACUCCGUGCCAGCAGCCGCGGUAAUACGUAGGGAGCGAGCGUUGUCCGGAUUUACUGGGUGUAAAGGGUGCGUAGGCGGGUAAGCAAGUCAG